rnacentral:rRNA from 1 species
CAUCGAGUUUUCGAACGCAAGUUGCGCCCGAAGCCUUUGGCUGAGGGAACGUCUGCCUGGGCGUCACGC